rnacentral:rRNA from 1 species
GAGUUUGAUCAUGGCUCAGGAUGAACGCUGGCGGCGUGCCUAAUACAUGCAAGUUGAACGGACUUGGAGGGUGCUUGCACCUAACAAGUUAGUAGCGAACGGGUGAGUAAUACAUAAGCAACCUACCUAUUAGACUGGGAUAACUAUGGGAAACGAUAGCUAAUACCGGAUAGGUAACUUGAAGGCAUCUUUAAGUUAUUAAAGGUUAGAGACACUAAUAGAUGGGCUUAUGGCGUAUUAGUUAGUUGGUGAGGUAACGGCUCACCAAGACGAUGAUACGUAGCCGGCCUGAGAGGGUGAACGGCCACAUUGGGACUGAGACACGGCCCAGACUCCUACGGGAGGCAGCAGUAGGGAAUUUUCGGCAAUGGGCGCAAGCCUGACCGAGCAACGCCGCGUGAGUGAAGAAGGCCUUCGGGUUGUAAAGCUCUGUUAUAAAUUAAGAAUGGCUAUAAGGGACUUAUAGAGAUGACUNUUACCNAAGCC